CGCUAGUCUCGCACCCAGACUAACCGAACGCAUACUCUCGCACCCGGGUUGCCCGGUCGACCGGCGCUAUUUUGUACUGGGCUGCCAAAGUGUGUUCGCCGGCGACCAGUAGACAUGGCAAGCGCCAGCUCUAGGGCUCCAAAGUGCGGAAAUGUGCCCGUUCACACGGAUCCAAAGUAGAAGAAGUCAUCUGGGCAUCAUUGCGUCGUGUUUGGAUGCCAAAACAACCAGUGGAAAAGGAGCAGGUUGCUUAGCGCUGUUUGCGAAGAGCACAACACACGUAGGGAAUCGUGCCGGUGCGGUGUUUUCAGCCUGCGCCGAUUUCCAUCCGCAACGAAGAAUGCCAAGCUGCGCCACCGGUGGAUAGCUGCAGUGAAUAGGAAGAACUACCAACCCAGUGAAAAUGCACGAUGUGCAGGUGGUGAAGGGCAGGCGUCUGCUAACCAGGCAGUCAAACGACCUCGCCAGUUGGUUGCCAAGCGCGGCCAACCCAGUAGAGACCAUUACAAACAAGACCAAACUGAAAGUGCA